AACGAACGCUGGCGGCAUGCCUAACACAUGCAAGUCGAACGAGACCUUCGGGUCUAGUGGCGCACGGGUGCGUAACGCGUGGGAACCUGCCCUUAGGUUCGGAAUAACUCCCCGAAAGGGGUGCUAAUACCGGAUAAUGUCUUCGGACCAAAGAUUUAUCGCCUUUGGAUGGGCCCGCGUUGGAUUAGCUAGUUGGUAGGGUAAAAGCCUACCAAGGCGACGAUCCAUAGCUGGUCUGAGAGGAUGAUCAGCCACACUGGGACUAGGACACGGCCCAGACUCCUACGGGAGGCAGCAGUGGGGAAUAUUGGACAAUGGGCGAAAGCCUGAUCCAGCAAUGCCGCGUGAGUGAUGAAGGCCUUAGGGUUGUAAAGCUCGUUUACCCGGGAUGAUAAUGACAGUACCGGGAGAAUAAGCUCCGGCUAACUCCGUG
rnacentral:rRNA from 1 species